UGUAGCUAAUACCGUAUAUUCCAGUAAUGGGAAAGAUUUAUCGCUAUAAGAUUGGCCCGCGCAAGAUUAGCUUGUUGGUGAGGUAAAAGCUCACCAAGGCUUCGAUCUUUAGCUGGUUUGAGAGGAUGAUCAGCCACACUGGGACUGAGACACGGCCCAGACUCCUACGGGAGGCAGCAGUAGGGAAUAUUGGACAAUGGGGGCAACCCUGAUCCAGCAAUGCAGCGUGAGUGACGAAGGCCUUAGGGUUGUAAAACUCUUUCAUCGGUGAGGAUAAUGACAGUAGCCGAAGAAGAAGGACCGGCUAAUUCCGUGCCAGCAGCCGCGGUAAUACGGAAGGUCCUAGCGUUGUUCGGAAUUACUGGGCGUAAAGCGCAUGUAGGCGGAACAGAAAGUUAGAAGUGAAAUCCCUGGGCUCAACCUAGGAAUUGCUUUUAAAACUUCUGUUCUGGAAUUCAGGAGAGGAAAAUGGAAUUUCCAGUGUAGAGGUGAAAUUCGUAGAUAUUGGAAGGAACACCAGUGGCGAAGGCGAUUUUCUGGACUGAUAUUGACGCUGAGAUGCGAAGGCAUGGGUAGCAAACGGGAUUAGAUACCCCGGUAGUCCAUGCAGUAAACGAUGGGUGCUAGUCGUCGGACUUAUGUUCGGUGUCGUAGCUAACGCGUUAAGCACCCCGCCUGGGGAGUACGGUCGCAAGAUUAAAACUCAAAUAAAUUGACGGGGACCCGCACAAGCAGUGGAGCAUGUGGUUUAAUUCGACGCAACGCGAAGAACCUUACCAG
rnacentral:rRNA from 1 species